GAUGAACGCUGGCGAUAUGCUUAACACAUGCAAGUCGUACGAAGAUAAAAUUGUGCUUGCACGCUUUUAUACUUAGUGGCGGACGGGUGAGUAACACGUAAGAAUCUACCUUUUGGCGAGGGACAACCACUGGAAACGGUGGCUAAUACCUCAUAUAACUGAGAAGUGAAAGAUGAAAAUCACCAAGAGAUGAGCUUGCGUCUGAUUAGCUAGUUGGUAAGGUAAAGGCUUACCAAGGCGACGAUCAGUAGCUGGUCUGAGAGGAUGAUCAGCCACACUGGGACUGAGACACGGCCCAGACUCCUACGGGAGGCAGCAGUGAGGAAUUUUCCGCACCGGGCGAAAGCCUGACGGAGCAAUACCGCGUGAAGGAUUAAGGCCUAUGGGUUGUAAACUUCUUUUC
rnacentral:rRNA from 1 species